rnacentral:rRNA from 1 species
CACGUAGUUAGCCGUGGCUUUCUCAUGAGGUACCGUCAAUUGAUAGUCAUUUCCUCCUAUCACCUUUCUUCCCUUAUAACAGAAUUUUACAACCCGAAGGCCUUCUUCAUUCACGCGGCGUUGCUCGGUCAGGCUUUCGCCCAUUGCCGAAGAUUCCCUACUGCUGCCUCCCGUAGGAGUCUGGGCCGUGUCUCAGUCCCAGUGUGGCCGUUCACCCUCUCAGGUCGGCUACGCAUCGUCGCCUUGGUAGGCCUUUACCCCACCAACUAGCUAAUGCGCCGCAGGCUCAUCCAUCAGUGAUGCCAGGAGCAUCUUUAAACUUUCGUCCUAUCCGGUAUUAGCGAUCGUUUCCAAUCGUUGUCCCCGUCUGAUGGGCAGAUCACCUACGUGUUACUCACCCGUUCGCCGCUUCCCACCGAAGUGGUUCGCUCGACUUGCAUGUAUUAGGCACGCCGCCAGCGUUCAUCCUGAGCCAGGAUCAAACUCU